rnacentral:rRNA from 1 species
GACGAACGCUGGCGGCGUGCCUAAUACAUGCAAGUUGAGCGAUGAAGAUUGGUGCUUGCCCCAAUUUGAAGAGCAGCGAACGGGUGAGUAACGCGUGGGUAAUCUGCCUUUGAGCGGGGGACAACAUUUGGAAACGAAUGCUAAUACCGCAUAACAACUUUAAACAUAAGUUUUAAGUUUGAAAGAUGCAAUUGCAUCACUCAAAGAUGAUCCCGCGUUGUAUUAGCUAGUUGGUGAGGUAAAGGCUCACCAAGGCGAUGAUACAUAGCCGACCUGAGAGGGUGAUCGGCCACAUUGGGACUGAGACACGGCCCAAACUCCUACGGGAGGCAGCAGUAGGGAAUCUUCGGCAAUGGACGAAAGUCUGACCGAGCAACGCCGCGGGAGUGAAGAAGGUUGUCGGAUCGGAAAACUCUGUUGGUAGAGAAGAACGUUGGUGAGAGUGGAAAGCUCAUCAAGUGACGGUAACUACACAGAAAGGGACGGCUAACUACGUG